rnacentral:rRNA from 1 species
UACGUAGGGGGCAAGCGUUGUCCGGAAUCAUUGGGCGUAAAGAGCGUGUAGGCGGCCCGGUAAGUCCGCUGUGAAAGUCCAGGGCUCAACCCUGGGAUGCCGGUGGAUACUGUCGGGCUCGAGUCCGGAAGAGGAGUGUGGAAUUCCUGGUGUAGCGGUGAAAUGCGCAGAUAUCAGGAGGAACACCGAUGGCGAAGGCACUUUACUGGGCUAUUACUAACACUCAGAGACGAAAGCUAGGGUAGCAAAUGGG